rnacentral:sRNA from 1 species
CUACAUGGGCACUCAACUAAUACGAUAGA